rnacentral:rRNA from 1 species
GUGGGGAAUUUUGGACAAUGGGCGCAAGCCUGAUCCAGCCAUUCCGCGUGCAGGAUGAAGGCCUUCGGGUUGUAAACUGCUUUUGUACGGAACGAAAAGCCUCUGGUUAAUACCCGGGGGUCAUGACGGUACCGUAAGAAUAAGCACCGGCUAACUACGUGCCAGCAGCCGCGGUAAUACGUAGGGUGCGAGCGUUAAUCGGAAUUACUGGGCGUAAAGCGUGCGCAGGCGGUGAUGUAAGACAGUUGUGAAAUCCCCGGGCUCAACCUGGGAACUGCAUCUGUGACUGCAUUGCUGGAGUGCGGCAGAGGGGGAUGGAAUUCCGCGUGUAGCAGUGAAAUGCGUAGAUAUCGAGAGGAACACUAGUGGCGAAGGCGAGACUCUGGACAAUUACUGACGCUGAGAGACGAAGGCCAGGGGAGCGAAAAGGAUUAGAAACCCUAGUAGUCC